AGUAGCGGUGAAAUGCGUAGAUAUCUGGAGGAAUACCAAAGGCGAAGGCAGUCCCCUGGUCCGAUACUGACACUGAGGUACGAAAGCGUGGGGAGCAAACAGGAUUAGAUACCCUGGUAAUCCACGCCCUAAACGAUGUCGAUUAGCCAUUGGAAGGACCCCUUUUCCUUUCAGUGACGUAGCUAACGCGUUAAAUCGACCGCCUGGGAAGUACGACCGCAAGGUUAAAACUCAAAGGAAUUGACGGGGACCUGAACAAGCGGUGAAUGAUGUGGAUUAAUUCGAUGCUACGCGAAGAACCUUACCUACCUUUGACAUGGCCAAAGUUCUACCGAGAGGCGGAAGUACUCGUAAGGGGAUUGGCGCACAGGUGCUGCAUGGUUGUCGUCAGUUCGUGUCGUGAGAUGUUGGGUUCAGUCCCGCAACGAACGCAACCCUUAUCUUUAAUUGCUCCUAUUUUAACAGGCACUUUAAAGAAACUGCCAAUGAUAAGUUGGAGGAAGGUGGGGAUCACGUCAAGUCCGCAUGGCCUUUAUAGGUAGGGCUUCACACGUCAUACAAUGGUUAGAACAAAGAGCUGCAAAUUCGUAAGAAGGAGCCAAUCUCACAAACCUAACCUCAGUUCGAAUUGCGGUCUGCAACUCGAGCGCAUGAAGCCGGAAUCGCUAGUAAUCGUGGAUCAGAAUGCCA
rnacentral:rRNA from 1 species